rnacentral:rRNA from 1 species
AGCAGCCGCGGUAAUUCCAGCUCCAAUAGCGUAUAUUAAAGUUGUUGCAGUUAAAAAGCUCGUAGUUGGAUUUCGGGAUCAAUAUGUUGGUCGUGCCUUGGUACGUACUAAUUUAUUGGUUUCUUCCUUCUGACGAACCAUGAUGUCAUUAAUUUGGUGUCUUGGGGAAUCAGGACUGUUACUUUGAAAAAAUUAGAGUGUUUAAAGCAGGCUCACGCUUGAAUACAUUAGCAUGGAAUAAUGAAAUAGGAUGUUUGAUUCUAUUUUGUUGGUUUCUAGGAUCGACGUAAUGAUUAAUAGGGAUAGUUGGGGGCAUUAGUAUUCAAUUGUCAGAGGUGAAAUUCUUGGAUUUAUUGAAGACUAACUACUGCGAAAGCAUUUGCCAAGGAUGUUUUCAUUAAUCAAGAACGAAAGUUAGGGGAUCGAAGACGAUCAGAUACCGUCGUAGUCUUAACCAUAAACUAUGCCGACUAGGGAUCGGAUGAUGUUAAUUUUUAAUGACUCAUUCGGCGCCUUAAC